rnacentral:rRNA from 1 species
UAUAUCGGAACGUGCCCAGUCGUGGGGGAUAACGUAGCGAAAGCUACGCUAAUACCGCAUACGAUCUAUGGAUGAAANCGGGGGAUCGCAAGACCUCGCGCGAUUGGAGCGGCCGAUAUCAGAUUAGGUAGUUGGUGAGGUAAAGGCUCACCAAGCCGACGAUCUGUAGCUGGUCUGAGAGGACGACCAGCCACACUGGGACUGAGACACGGCCCAGACUCCUACGGGAGGCAGCAGUGGGGAAUUUUGGACAAUGGGCGCAAGCCUGAUCCAGCAAUGCCGCGUGCAGGAUGAAGGCCUUCGGGUUGUAACUGCUUUGUACGGAACGAAACGGUGAGCUCUAAUACAGUUUGCUAAUGACGGUACCGUAAGAAUAAGCACCGGCUAACUACGUG